GCCAGUGUGGUAUAGUGGUUUGAAUGUUGGCUUCAGACUCUGAGAGACCAUGGUUCAAUUCCCUGCUCAGGUA